UACGUAGGGUGCGAGCGUUGUCCGGAAUUAUUGAGCGUAAAGAGCUCGUAGGCGGUUUGUCGCGUCGACUGUGAAAACCCGAGGCUUAACCUCGGGCCUGCAGUCGAUACGGGCAGACUAGAGUUCGGUAGGGGAGACGUGGAAUUCCUGGUGUAGCGGUGAAAUGCGCAGAUAUCAGGAGGAACACCGGUGGCGAAGGCGGGUCUCUGGGCCGAUACUGACGCUGAGGAGCGAAAGCGUGGGGGAGCGAACAGG
rnacentral:rRNA from 1 species